UGCAAUCGUCUUGUUAUUAACUCAGACAAUAUGAAAGUGAUUGACACAAUAAAGAAUGGAGAACAUUCCGCAGGAGCGGCGGCGGCAGUGUUUGAUGAUUGUUUUUUUAUUCCGUGUGAUUUCCCUCUUAUUAGUUUUGAACAUUGUAAUAGGGAAGCAAAUAAGGUUGCUCAUGAACUUGCUAGGUUAGCGAAAUUUUCUGUGACAAGGGAUUGGUUUGAGGAGCCUAUGUUUGAAAUUGUAUCUUUUCUUAUUGACGAUGUAACUAUUAUUUCCAAUUAA
rnacentral:rRNA from 1 species